GCGGACGGCUCAGUAACACGUGGCUAACCUACCCUCGGGUGGGGGAUAACCUCGGGAAACUGAGGAUAAUACCCCAUAGGAGAAGAGGUCUGGAAUGAUCCUUCUCUGAAAACAUAUGUGCCCGAGGAUGGGGCUGCGUCUGAUUAGGUAGUUGGUGGGGUAACGGCCCACCAAGCCUACGAUCAGUACGGGCCUUGAGAGAGGCAGCCCGGAGAUGGGGACUGAGACACGGCCCCAGGCCCUACGGGGCGCAGCAGGCGCGAAACCUCUGCAAUGCACGAAAGUGCGACGGGGGGACCCCAAGUGCUUACGCACUGCGUAGGCUUUUCUAAAGUGUAAAAAGCUUUAGGAAUAAGGGCUGGGCAAGUCCGGUGCCAGCAGCCGCGGUAACACCGGCGGCCCGAGUGGUGACCACUUUUAUUGGGCCUAAAGCGUCCGUAGCCGGUCCAGUAAGUCCCUGUUUAAAUCCUACGGCUUAACCGUAGGGCUGGCAGGGAUACUGCUGGACUUGGGACCGGGAGAGGGCGAGGGUACUUCAGGGGUAGCGGUGAAAUGUGUUGAUCCCUGGAGGACCACCUAUGGCGAAGGCACUCGCCUGGA
rnacentral:rRNA from 1 species